CGCCGCCCGGGCGGCGGCAGCCAAGACCCGGAGCCGGGACCGCGCGCCCCGCCGCGUGUUGCCAGCUGGGCCUCCUACUGGGGUGGGAUCUGGGCACGGGGGAGGGCGGCGCGAGGGCGCGGCCGUCUCACUCUGCCCGCAGCUUCCCUAACGCCAGGCCUCGGGUUUCUCCUGAGUGUCCACCUCCCCUUAAGGGGAGCGGAGGAGUGUUCCGUAGGUGGACUCCAGGAGGUCUACGUUCUAAAGAAACGAAGCUGUCAAUGGGCGUCCGGCAGUACAAAUGCAAAGUCUUCGCGAAGGUGCCUGCAAAGCCCUUUGAACCUUAAAACUACUAGCACCUCGAAAGCCUGGUCUUCCGUACUUCUCUCUGGGGACCCCCCCGCCCCAAAGCACUCAAUGCGUGUGUGCUCCAUUGCAGCGCUAUCUCGGUUUAUUUUGGUGUUUAUCCAUUCUUCAUCUUCACAUUUGAAAUCCCUAUCCCAAACACCACCUUCUACAUAUGAAAUAAGUUGAUAUUCAACGAGCUGGAAUUUCAGUGACCAAAGAAAGCAUAACCAGAUUCCUAAACAAGAACCACAAGUUAAGGAGGCCUAUUCAUCAACAACUUAAGGUACCUCAAGCUCCGCCUGUGAAAACAGGUGGCUCAGCCAAAGCUGUCCCACUCCAACAGGCCUCCUUCACACUUAGCCGUUUCUUUGUUUGCUACACUGGAGGAUCACCCCAUGUCCUAUUAUACAUCAACAUAAUCAUUAAACUCCUCGAAGCUAAGAGUUAGGACUUUAUACAACGCCGUCGGUGUGUCAAGCGCUCAAGCGACGAGCAAACAUACUAGGAAAUUGAAGAAAAACAGGGAUCCUCGACAGACAAUGAGCAGAUAACAUCUCACAUUCAAACCCAUGCCCAAGUGGACACCAAAAUAAGUAAAAACAUUUCUAUUCUUCACACCAAUCACUGCUGCUUUCUUGACAGAAUUUGUUAACAAUUUUCAAGGUAUUGCACCAUGUAUUAUCUCUAAAGAGCCUUCAAUCCUAGCCUACCUCCAAAAGAGGAUGGAGAGAGCAACCAGAUUCAGACGACGAGCUAGUACAUAGAGUAAAGUAAUUCUUCGCCGUGGUGGAAAAAACAGACUGGGGGAGAUUGAGAACCUGAGAAGAGUAACCCAGAAAAGUUCACAUUUGACAACAUCGAAGAUCUCAAUUAUGACUAACCACAAUUGGUCCUCCACACUGAAGGUGUAAACCCCUGAUAGACUACGCCAAAGCAGGAGCAAGCCAUUCUCCUUAACUCAGCACCAACUGCCUCUCCUCCAAUGAGUUAGCUGGAUUCCGCUAGAGAUGGCAAAUCUGACCACAUUUUCAGCUGUCUAUUUACCCCUUCUUCCCUGACUUCCUCAUCUCCCUCCAUUUAAAAUAACCACUGGAUUAUUAAAUGCUAUUUUGCAAAUUGA